GCUGGGCAUGGUGGCGGGUGCCUGUAAUCCCAGCUACUCAGGAGGCUGAGGCAGGAGAAUUGCUUGAACCUGGGAAGCUGAGGCUACAGUGAGAAGAGAUUACACCACUGUGCUCCAGCCUGGGCGACAGAGCAAGGCUCUGUCUCAU
ensembl:misc_RNA Metazoa_SRP Metazoan signal recognition particle RNA